CCUACGGGAGGCUGCAGUGAGGAAUAUUGGUCAAUGGGCGAGAGCCUGAACCAGCCAAGUCGCGUGAAGGAUGAAGGAUCUAUGGUUUGUAAACUUCUUUUAUAAAGGAAUAAAGUGAGGCACGUGUGCCUUUUUGUAUGUACUUUAUGAAUAAGGAUCGGCUAACUCCGUGCCAGCAGCCGCGGUAAUACGGAGGAUCCGAGCGUUAUCCGGAUUUAUUGGGUUUAAAGGGAGCGUAGAUGGGUUGUUAAGUCAGUUGUGAAAGUUUGCGGCUCAACCGUAAAAUUGCAAUUGAUACUGGCAGUCGUGAGUACAGUUGAGGUAGGCGGAAUUCGUGGUGUAGCGGUGAAAUGCUUAGAUAUCACGAAGAACUCCGAUUGCGAAGGCAGCUUACUAAACUGCCACUGACAUUGAUGCUCGAAAGUGUGGGUAUCAAACAGGAUUAGAUACCCUUGUAGUC
rnacentral:rRNA from 1 species